GACGAACGCUGGCGGCGUGCCUAAUACAUGCAAGUCGAACGCUGAAGGAGGAGCUUGCUUCUCUGGCUGAGUUGCGAACGGGUGAGUAACGCGUAGGUAACCUGCCUGGUAGCGGGGGAUAACUAUUGGAAACGAUAGCUAAUACCGCAUAAGAGUAGAUGUUGCAUGACAUUUGCUUAAAAGGUGCAAUUGCAUCACUACCAGAUGGACCUGCGUUGUAUUAGCUAGUUGGUGGGGUAACGGCUCACCAAGGCGACGAUACAUAGCCGACCUGGGAAGGUGGUCGGACACAAUGGGACGGAGACACGGCCCAGACACCCGCGGGAGGCAGCAGUAGGGGAACUUCGGAAAUGGACGGAAGUCUGAACCGGCAACGCCGCGGGGGGGAAGAAGGUUGUCGGAUCGGAAAGCUCGGUUGUAAGAGAAGGAAGAGUGGGAGAGUGGAAAGUUCACGCUGUGACGGUAUCUUAAGAGAAAGGGCCGGCUAACUACGUG
rnacentral:rRNA from 1 species